rnacentral:rRNA from 1 species
CGGUAAUUCCAGCUCCAAUAGCGUAUACUAAAGUUGUUGCAGUUAAAAAGCUCGUAGUUGGAUUUCUGCGGGGACGGAGCGGCCGGACGCAACUUGCGUCUCGAGCUAGCGCUUUCCCCGCAUCCUGCCGCGAACCGUGCUACCAUUAGCUUGGGGCGCUGGGGAUCGGCUCGAUUACUUUGAGAAAAAUAGAGUGUUCAAAGCAGGCCACACGCCUUGAAUAAGUUAGCAUGGAAUAAUGACUAAGGACUUUGGUUCUUUUCGUUGGUGUUCGGGACUGAAGUAAUGAUUGAUAGGGACAGUUGGGGCGGUCUGUAUUCCAAAGCGAGAGGUGAAAUUCUUAGACCUUCGGAAGACAAACAGCUGCGAAAGCGUUCCGCAAGGAUGUUCCCUUUGAUCAAGAACGAAAGUUGGGGGAUCGAAGACGAUCAGAUACCGUCGUAGUCUCAACUAUAAACUAUACCAGCUAGGGAUCGGCCAACGUUUAAUUAUUCGACUUGGUCGGCACCUUAUGAGAAAUCAAAGCAUCUGGGUUCCGGGGGGAGUAUGGUCGCAAGGCUGAAACUUAAAGGAAUUGACGGAAGGGCACCACCAGGCGUGGAGCCUGUGGCUUAAUUUGACUCAACACGGGAAAACUUACCAGGUCCAGACAUAGGAAGGAUUGACAGAUUGAUAGCUCUUUCUUGAUUCUGUGGGUGGUGGUGCAUGGCCGUUUUUAGUCGGUGAAGUGAUUUGUCUGCUUAAUUGCGUUAACGGACGAGACCCCAGCCUGCUAAAUAGCGCGGCCGAGCUUUGCUCGGUGCGAGCUUCUUAGAGGGACCAUGAUGCGCGAUAGCACAAGGAAGUUUGGGGCAACAACAGGUCUGUGAUGCCCUUAGAUGUUCUGGGCCGCACACGGGCUACACUGGCGCCUGCAACGAGCAUAUCAGCUGGCCCGAGAGGGUCUUGGCUGAUCUUUGGAACCGGCGCCGUGCUUGGGAUUGACCAUUGCAAUUGUUGGUCAUGCAACGAGGAAUGCCUUGUAAACGCGAGUCAUCAGCUCGCAUUGAAUACGUCCCUGCCCUUUGUACACACCGCCCGUCGCUCCUACCGAUGAAUGUUCCGAUGAAAUUUUCGGAGAGCGCCGGAGAACGGGGCUCUGCCCUGCAGAACUGGAGGCUCAAAGUCACUUAAAUCUGAACAUUUCGAGGAAGGAGAAGUCGUAACAAGGUAGCCG